rnacentral:rRNA from 1 species
GACGUAGGGCGCGAGCGUUGUCCGGAUUUAUUGGGCGUAAAGAGCUCGUAGGCGGCUCGUUGCGUCGGCUGUGAAAACCCGCAGCUCAACUGUGGGCCUGCAGCCGAUACGGGCAGACUAGAGUUCGGCAGGGGAGACUGGAAUUCCUAGUGUAGCGGUGAAAUGCGCAGAUAUCAGGAGGAACACCGGUGGCGAAGGCGGGUCUCUGGGCCGAUACUGACGCUGAGGAGCGAAAGCGUGGGGAGCGAACAGG